rnacentral:rRNA from 1 species
AUGGGGUGACUGCGUACCUUUUGUAUAAUGGGUCAGCGACUUAUAUUCUGUAGCAAGGUUAACCGAAUAGGGGAGCCGAAGGGAAACCGAGUCUUAACUGGGCGUUAAGUUGCAGGGUAUAGACCCGAAACCCGGUGAUCUAGCCAUGGGCAGGUUGAAGGUUGGGUAACACUAACUGGAGGACCGAACCGACUAAUGUUGAAAAAUUAGCGGAUGACUUGUGGCUGGGGGUGAAAGGCCAAUCAAACCGGGAGAUAGCUGGUUCUCCCCGAAAGCUAUUUAGGUAGCGCCUCGUGAAUUCAUCUCCGGGGGUAGAGCACUGUUUCGGCAAGGGGGUCAUCCCGACUUACCAACCCGAUGCAAACUGCGAAUACCGGAGAAUGUUAUCACGGGAGACACACGGCGGGUGCUAACGUCCGUCGUGAAGAGGGAAACAACCCAGACCGCCAGCUAAGGUCCCAAAGUCAUGGUUAAGUGGGAAACGAUGUGGGAAGGCCCAGACAGCCAGGAUGUUGGCUUAGAAGCAGCCAUCAUUUAAAGAAAGCGUAAUAGCUCACUGGUCGAGUCGGCCUGCGCGGAAGAUGUAACGGGGCUAAACCAUGCACC